UACGUAGGGGGCAAGCGUUGUCCGGAUUUAUUGGGCGUAAAGAGCGCGUAGGCGGCUAGAUAAGUCCGGUGUGAAAGUCACAGGCUCAACCUGUGAAUGCCGCUGGAAACUGUCUGGCUAGAGUCCGGAAGGGGCGAGUGGAAUUCCUGGUGUAGCGGUGAAAUGCGCAGAUAUCAGGAGGAACACCGAUGGCGAAGGCAGGUCUCUGGGCCGAUACUGACGCUGAGGAGCGAAAGCGUGGGGAGCGAACAGG
rnacentral:rRNA from 1 species